AUGAGUACACCACCGAGGAUGGCAAGAUACACUAUGUCGUGCACAACUAUGUCUUGCAUAACCCUUCCACAAACAGGUCUCUGCUGCUGCCUGAGCUCGACGCCGUCAUCAUCGACGACAGGUCUGCAAUCCGCAAGUUCCUCAUGCGCUCCACAGUUGAUGACUUUGUCGCGGUCAUCACCAACAACAGGAAGCAUCCGCUCAUUGUGUUCCAGCGAGGGAAGGGCACGUGGUCGCCGGAGCCACCGACAACUCCAUAUAUCUAUCUCAUUGACAUGGCCUUCCUUGGUGAUAAACUAUAUGCCAUCACCGAGACUGAGGACCUCAUCCCCCUUGAUCUAG
rnacentral:rRNA from 1 species